CGGGGUGGCAAGGCUAGGCUAUCACUAGGGAUCUCACUUUUCUUGAGGUUUUUUCCCAUAGUAGUGGCCGUGCAUAUCUGGACGGAGGAGUUCCGGAAUCGCCGGGUGUGUUUCAGAACUGAUAACCAGGCGGUGGUGAACAUACUGGCUAGGCAGUCAUCUCAUUCUGAGAGGGUGUCGUCCCUGCUACGGUCAUACCUCGCUUCCGGUUGCUAGCACCUGGAGCUCAACCGUUGCCCGAACCCUUUCCGGAGCACCUGUGGAACCUUGGAGACACAAAGUGAUUAAGGGAGUAUUAGCGUCUGUCGCACCCUCCACCCUCAGAUCUUACAAGAAA